rfam:TPA: Bos taurus chromosome 1, whole genome shotgun sequence.
UCUCUGGUGGUCCAAUGGCUAAGAUUCCCCACUCCCAAUGCAGGGGAUCCAGGUUUGAUCCCUGGUCAGAGAA